GACGAACGCUGGCGGCGUGCUUAACACAUGCAAGUCGAACGGAGUGGCGACUGGGUUAGUAACACGUGGGUGAACUGCCCUGCCCUUCGGGAUAAGCCUGGGACACUGGGUCUAAUACCGGAUAGUGGGGGAGGGGCCCGCGGCCUAUUAGCUUGUUGGUUGGGUAAUGGACUACCAAGGCGGCGCCGGGUAGCCGGACUGAGAGGGUGGACGGCCACAGUGGGACUGAGACACGGCCCAGACUCCUACGGGAGGCAGCAGUGGGGAAUAUUGCACAAUGGGCGGAAGCCUGAUGCAGCGACGCCGCGUGGGGGAUGACGGCCUUCGGGUUGUAAACUCCUUUCACCAUCGACGCGGUAGAUGGAGAAGAAGCACCGGCUAACUACGUGCCAGCAGCCGCGGUAAUUC
rnacentral:rRNA from 1 species